AGGGAGCCACCUGAGAGCAUGGUGAAGUGUUGGAAGUCUGGCGAGGAGCGGUGGGAGUCAGGGUGGGUGGAGACAGGGGAUGAAGGCAGGGAGCAGGGUCUCUGGUUUUUGUCCGAAUGACAUGGGGGCCUCUGGAGGGUUCUGAGAGGACAGUGAUAUGACCGGACAGAUCAAGGUGGAGGGGUGAUUCCUACCCCCCUUGUAUCUUCCCUUGCAGUCUGGUCACCCCACUUCUCCUUGCCGGCUGCCUUCUGCUUCUCAGCUACUCUGCCAGGCUGCCUGUGGCUUCCAGAAAGUUCCUCUGCUCCAGAAAGCCCUCCAGGAUUGCUCAGGGGAGGCUGCCAGGCUCUGUCUGGGCAGUAGAUGGCCUUUUCUUCAUUUCUUCCCUUCCCAUGAGAGAGAUGCCAAAGAGAGAGAUUGUGAUCCCGCCCCCCUCCCUCCCCAGGGCAACCCAAGGACCAGACUGGUUGUUAGCCUCCUUGGCUUUGGAAGAUCCGCUUGGCUCCCUGCUCCUCCCCUCAGCCCCAGGGGGGCCCAUAGCGAACACCUGCUUGGUUGCUGGUGCAGGUCUGCCGCGCCUUCGGUUCAUAUACUGGCAUUUGGGGAGAGCCUGCGUUGUUCCGGUCUUCCCUGAGCACUGGUCCACUCAAAAGAGCCCCCGCGAGGGACCAGCCUUGGCCUGCAAGGUACAGAAGUUCAAGUGCAGGAAGGAUUUCCUGGGCCGUGAAGGGGGACAGCUGAGCGGCUGGAAUUCGGGGAAUCAGUUCAUGUGCACCCUGCCGUGUGAAAGGUCCAUGGCUGAGGGCCUGGCGAGGGAGAGUCAGGGUCUCAGAGAGGACGAAGGAACAUAGUGACAGGCCGGCAAACAAAGGCUGUCCGCUCCAUGCAGCUGGCCUGGAUGUUUGCACCGCACCGUGAACACAGCAUCUGGCCCAGAGGAGGCCUUCAGUGAAUUCCUGCCGAGAGAAGAGAAUCUUGGUUCCCGGCUCAGGUUCCCAUUUGCUUUUCCUGAACCUGUAGUUCCUUAUCUACAAGAUGGAGUAGUAACCCCAGCACUUCCUGUCUCGUCACAUUGUCACGGGGAACAAAUGGAACAACGAUGGCAAAAGCGUUCUGUGAACACGAUACACAGGCCGCAGCCCAGCACCGUGCCGGGCCUGCGGUGGUGGCGGCUCGGUAUUGAAUAAAUGAGUAAAUGACUCGAUCGCCACCAGAUGUGAGCUCCACGUAGGCAGGGACCUGGCUUGUUUUUCCUUGGCAUUAUUUCCCCAGUGCGUGGCACACUGUAGGUGCCCAAUAAAUAUUUGGAUCGAA